CCAAUAGCGUAUAUUAAAGUUGUUGCAGUUAAAAAGCUCGUAGUUGAAUUUCGGGAUCAAUAUGUUGGUCGUGCCUUUGGUACGUACUGGCAUUAUUGGUUUCUCUCUUCUGAAGAACCUUGAUGUCAUUAAUUUGGUGUCUUGGGAAAUCAGGACUGUUACCUUGAAAAAAUUAGAGUGUUUAAAGCAGGCUCACGCUUGAAUACAUUAGCAUGGAAUAAUGAAAUAGGACGUUUGAUUCUAUUUUGUUGGUUUCUAGGAUCGACGUAAUGAUUAAUAGGGAUAGUUGGGGGCAUUAGUAUUCAAUUGUCAGAGGUGAAAUUCUUGGAUUUAUUGAAGACUAACUACUGCGAAAGCAUUUGCCAAGGAUGUUUUCAUUAAUCAAGAACGAAAGUUAGGGGAUCGAAGACGAUCAGAUACCGUCGUAGUCUUAACCAUAAACUAUGCCGACUAGGGAUCGGAUGAUGUUAAUUUUUUAAUGACUCAUUCGGCGCCUUAC
rnacentral:rRNA from 1 species